rnacentral:sRNA from 1 species
UAAAUAAGGGAACAGCAUCACAGAUGUUAAAUCCCUGAUAACUGAUGCCUCGGGGACAGCUCGAAGAAAGUGUGUUCCAAAACUGAUGAGGUCAUGAGUCUGUUGUCUCCCAAACUAGAUUCACCCAAGAGCAACAAGUUACGAAGGCAUCGAGAAAUCAUGGACAACAGCUGAGUCUUAUCACUGUGUGGCAGGGAUGGAUUUCUGGAAGACAUGCAAGAAGAGGCUACUGAUGAGAGUGCACCCCAGUUGCAACAAGGAGUCACAUUAAAAGUACUGACCUGAGUCUCAGAAGACAUUUUGAACUUCUAAAUAAUAUUUAACCGAUGAUAAAUAAGUGGCUGCAUUUCUAAGGAAAAGUGACCCUUGCUCAUCCAGCAGUCAUCAGUACUAAUGGAACCCAGGAUUAUUUCCAAGAAGUGCAAAUAUGGGAUUAAAUUUUUCUUUUGAAGAAUUCGAUUGGUUGGCUGAGGAGAGAAUUCAAUGGAUUUCCCAUUGGUAAUGCACUGAAUUUGAUGUACUGUGAUUCCCAGGCAAGCAUGAUUCAAUGCAUUUGACCAUCUUCCUAAGUCCAGAACAAUGGCAUGAAGAAUUUAUAGUUGUGCUUUGUUUUGUUUUGUUUUUCAUGAACAU